rnacentral:rRNA from 1 species
CCUACGGGGGGCUGCAGUGGGGAAUAUUGGACAAUGGGCGAAAGCCUGAUCCAGCCAUGCCGCGUGUGUGAAGAAGGCCUUCGGGUUGUAAAGCACUUUCAGUGGGGAAGAAAGCCUUGGGGCUAAUACCCUCGAGGAAGGACAUCACCCACAGAAGAAGCACCGGCUAACUCCGUGCCAGCAGCCGCGGUAAUACGGAGGGUGCGAGCGUUAAUCGGAAUUACUGGGCGUAAAGCGCGCGUAGGCGGUCUGAUAAGCCGGUUGUGAAAGCCCCGGGCUCAACCUGGGAACGGCAUCCGGAACUGUCAGGCUAGAGGGCAGGAGAGGAAGGUAGAAUUCCCGGUGUAGCGGUGAAAUGCGUAGAGAUCGGGAGGAAUACCAGUGGCGAAGGCGGCCUUCUGGACUGACACUGACGCUGAGGUGCGAAAGCGUGGGUAGCAAACAGUAUUAGAUACCCUAGUAGUC